rnacentral:rRNA from 1 species
GUCCACGCUGUAAACGAUGGGCACUAGGUGUCGCGGGUAUUGACCCCUGCUGUGCCGCAGCUAACGCAUUAAGUGCCCCGCCUGGGGACUACGGCCGCAAGGUUAAAACUCAAAGGAAUUGACGGGGGCCCGCACAAGCGGUGGAGCAUGUGGUUCAAUUCGACGCAACGCGAAGAACCUUACCCGGGCUAGACAACAGAUGGCCGCCUUAGAAAUAAGGUCUUCCCUUCGGGGACCUCUGGUUCAGGUGCUGCAUGGCUGUCGU